CUGGUGGUAGCGUAGUGUUGAAGGAGCUGGGCAGUAGACCGAGAAGUCGUGGGUUCAAUUCCCGGCUUCCACU
rnacentral:tRNA from 1 species